CCACUUUAAACUCUCCACCUGCUCAUAUUAAACUUUGCCUUCUAGUAUUUAGCAUUCCCACCCUGGGGAAAAAAUACUUUUAUCUACCCUAUCAAUGCUUCUCAUAAUUUUAUAUAUUUCUCUCUGGUCCCUCAGCCUCCACUGCUCCAGAGAAAACAAUCUAAGUUUGUCAAUUUCUCCUUACAGCUAAUACUCUAUAAUCCAGGCAGAAUUCUGGUGAACCUUUUUUCAAAGCUUCCACAUACUUCCUGCAAUGCAGUGACCAGAACUACAGCAAAAAACCUCCAACUGUAGCCUAACCCAUGUAUUAUACUACUGCAACAUGACUUACCAACUUUUACAUUCAGCACCCUGAUCAAUAAAGCAAGUAUGCCAUAUGCCGCAUUUACCUCUUUAUCAACGUGUUGCCAUUUUCGGGCAGCUAUGGACUUGCACUCCAGGAUUUCUGGCGUUACACUAGACAAAACAGCCGCCAGGAGAAUGUCAAAUUUCAAAUGGAUUGAACAUCAAUAACUUUUUAAUGGUGCCCCUUCAUUCCUGGUCUUGCGAUUUAUGAUGCAUAUUUUUCAACAAAAUGAGCGAAAUACAGGGAAAUUUGUCUGUUUAAUGCGUCUGUGAUGCCUUUAAUUGCAUUUGCACCAUGUUGAAUCAAAAUGGCAGGACCGUUUCAGCAUUCUGUCUUAGCUUCACUAUUAGAAUCAUAGAGUGGUGCAGUGUGGAAACAGGCUCUUCGGCCCAACUUGCCCACAUCGGCCAACAAUGUCCCAGCUAAACCCAGCUUCCUGCACUUGGUUCAUUUCCCUCCAUACCUGUCUUAUCCAUGUACCUGUCAAACUAUUUCUUAAACGAUGGGAUAGUCCCAGCCUCAACUACCUCCUCUGGCAGCUUGUUCCAUACACCCAUCACCGUUUGUCUGAAAAAGUUCCCCUCGGAUCCCUAUUAAAUCUUUUCCCCUUCACCUUGAACCUAUGUCCUCUGGUGCUCGAUUCCCCUGCUGUGGGCAAGUGACUGUGCAUCUAUCAGAUCUAUUCCUCUCAUGAUUUUGGACACUUUAUAACAUCACCCCUCAUCCUCCUGCGCUCCAUAGAAUAGAGACCCAGCCUACUCAACCUCUCCCUAUAGCUCACACCCUCUAGUCCUGGCAACAUCCUCAUAAAUCUUUUCUGAACCCUUUCAAGCUUGACAUUAUCUUUCCUAUAACAUGCUGCCCAGAACUGAACACUAUAUUCUAAAAGGCUUUUGGAACAUUGGCCUUCAUCAGUCAGAGUAUUGAGUAUUGAAGUUGGGAGGUCAUGUUGCAGUUGUAUAAGACGUUGGUGAGACUGCACUGUUCUAGAACCAACUUCAUUAACAUAAAAGGCUUUUGGAAGUCCGAAGAAGGGUCUCCACCCGAAAAGUCACCUAUUCCUUCGAUCCAUAGAUGCUGGUUCACCCGGUGAGUUUCUCCAGCAUUUUUACCUACCUUCGAUUUUUCCUGCAUCUGCAGUUCCUUCUUAAACUUUAUGAACAUCAUCAUUUGUCUCACUUGCAUGUGUUUUAAUUAUAAAAAGUUUGAGGAUGGAUGUAAUAUCAAGUGGUUUUACCACUUCAGAAAUCUUUGAGGUUUUUUUAUUGUGACAACUCAGGAGCUAUAGUUUAUAUUUGCCAUCAAGAGCUCUAUUCACAGGCAUCUUUGGUUCCAAAGAAGUACAUUUAAUUGCAAUUUAUUUUUAUUUGAAUUACUAUGAAUGACCAAAGAUUUCAUGCUGCUCACCAUGUACUUUCAUUUUAAAAUUUAUAUUUUUGUAGCUGCAGCUGGUCCUGCACUCAGAAGUUCAUUUUGCUAAAAAGACGUAAGAUAGUU